AAAGCAGAUUUAUCUUAUCGCCACGCUUCGGUGUGGAGGAAAGUCCGGACACCAUAGAGUACUCAUAGCGGAUAACAUCCGUCCAGCGUAAGUUGAGGACCAGUGCAACAGAAAGCAAGUACAGUUCGGCUGUAGUGAAACCAGGUAAACUCUAUGAGGUGCAAUGUCAUGUAUAUUAGAGCUUGAGGGCUACUCGCUCGAUUCUAAAGGGUAGGCAGAUAGAUUCUAAGAGCAAUUUUAGAACUAGAUAAAUGAUAAGAACCUUAAAAUUUAAGGCACAGAAUUCGGCUUACAAGUCUGCUUUUUUA
rnacentral:RNase_P_RNA from 2 species